rnacentral:rRNA from 1 species
AUGAACUCGUGCCUGAGCAAAGGAAUCAUGAACUCGUGCCUGAGCAGCUCGUGCUUCCUCCUUCCGGCAGCCCUCCGUGUCAUGAGACUCAACGUCGGGCAUGGUUCGGAGGUCAUGGACGCGAUCCGAGGUAGACUCGUCUGUAAACCGUCCACGUCCAUGGUAUCGUGUGUUUCUCGGGAUUGCAGUACCUCCCUGCCGAGGCCGGUCACCGGUCACUUGGCUCCUCGUGGGCUACAUGCCUUGUGGAGGGCCACGACGUCAACUAUGGCGCCGACUUUCCGUGGCGGCACAGGAAUCACCAUGCACCGUGCAUUUCAUGUCGAGACAGUGCCAUACACUAACCGGACCCGCACGGUCAUCUGCUCUCCCAGCGAAGCGCGCGAGCUCGGCGAGUCUGACUUUGCCAAUUUCAAGAAGAAGCACACCUCCAAGAUCCUUGACCCACACCACCACCAAAGUGUUCGCGUCCACGACAUUUGCUGGAAGAUUAUUGGCGCCAUCCAUCGUGGCUUGUCCAUCAAGAACAAGAUAGAACAGCGAAGACAGGAACCACUACAGAUGAUGACGCCUUUGGAUUGGAUCGACGAGCUCAAUUGGGAGGUGAUAGUUGUUGAAGAAAAAGCCUGGAGGGGACAAUGCUAUUUCGAUGGUAAGAUAAUAGUCUCCACGGGAUUACUUCAUUCCAGCACGGAUGCUGAGAUUGCAUGGGUCCUCGGACAUGAGGUUGGACAUGUUAUUGCGAGGCAUUUCUGGGAGAUGAUCAUAAUAUUCGAGUUGUGGUUCCCGACUCUUCUCCUGGUGAUGCCGUUGUUACGAAGGAGUGAGCUAGAGGCGGAUUACAUUGGAAUGUUGCUAGCCGCUGCGGCUGGUUUUGAUCCCCACGCUGCUGCUAUAUGCCUUGACAAGGCAGGAAAGAGGAAAGGGGAGUCAGCAUUUACAAAUUUCCUCUCUUUCUUCUCAUCCAAAGUUCAUCCAUCUUGUAAGAAAAGAUCACGACUUCUAUCGCAACCCAAGGUAAUGGAGGAGGCAAUGGAAUUGUACAGAAAAGCAACUGAAGGUGAUGGGCUUGACAAUGACGGAUUUGUUGGCAUCAAUUAUGCAAAAGCCUGUCGCGAGGCCAUGGCUUUGGCGACCGAUCUCUUGCAAACACACAUAGUCAUUGGCUCGGACUGUAAGGAAACGGUAUCAGAAAUCAACGAAGGCAGCGGCGGCAAGCACGGCCAUAUCAUUCGUGAGAUCAGGAUCACAUCAUCGGAGUUCCAGGAUUGCUCCUUCGUCUUCAAAGGAAGGGCCUCGAAUACGGAGGCACAUAGCCUCGCUAAACAUGCGCUUAGUUUAUCUGUAGGGCGUCAUCUUUGGCCUUUGCAACCCCCUAUCAAUUCUAACUCCUGGAAAACGGAUCGGCCCCCGCGUCGUCUCCGGGCGACACGGGCGGCAGCCAUCUCCUCCGGCCUCCACCGGCAGGCUCUAAGUCUGCUCCCCUCGCCGUCGCCGGAGGACGUCGCCGGGCAAAUGGGAUGCAGUUGUAGCAGAUGUGCUGCGGGGUUGGCCAGCGCCGCCCGCCGUGUGAGCUGCAUGGCGGCAUGUGAUCUCAUCGGGGUCUUCCCUCUGGAUCAAGUGGUCGAUCAAUGGCUACACGUCGCAGUCUCGUGCGAUGUCUCCUCUAGCGAGGACGUACAAGGGACUCCAGAUGGCACGAUGGCUCACCAGGCAUCUCUUGGAUCUUCGUGCAUGGAUUCGUCCGAUGGCCCUUGUGGGCUCUUGGCGGCGUGCUUGAUCCUGAAGUGCGGUUCACGGGCCUGCAACCAUGGAUCUGGUGGUGACCACCCGCGGCGCUAUGAUCCACGGCUUGGUGGUGGUGAUUCAGAUUCGGUCGACCGAGCAAGAGUAACUGCACACUGUGCUGCAACAACCUCCUACGGCUCCAUGGCAGCGGUGAUCAUUGCAAGAUCUAUGGUUCAUCUCAAGAUCCAGUGGUUGACUUCGGCACUUUGGUCUUAUAUGACUUUGCUAUUUGCCGUCUUGUUUUUCGUGUGUGUGCAUGUUUGUGUUGGCUGUGUGCAUCCUAGCUAUGCAGAGGCCGAUCACGCCUUCUCUCCUCUGAUCUCGUUUAAUUCGGCACCCACGCGUCUCAGCGACGUCCUCCGUUACGGCAAGGAGGCCUUGCUGCUGAUGAUGAUGCAUGUGCGCUCGCCGAGGCGAGCCGAAGCAUCUCCCUCAACUCCGGCGGCCGCCGAUGUGCUGCGUUGCAACACCACUACCGGCAAGCCUUCCGGCGGCCGUAGCAGAGGCCGGCCUCGCCCACGACGGCAGGAGGCGCGCGCUCCAGCAGCGACGCAGGCCGUCCGCGGCGAGCUCGAGGGAGGCAGAAGCAAGGUCGAGGUGCUCCUGCACGAGCUGCCCCGCGAGGCCACCGUGCUCCGCGUCCAUGGCGUCGGUAGCGGCGCUGAUGCGGGUAGGGGAGAGACCGUGGAGUGUGGUGCCGCACUCGUCCUGUUGCACGGAGGAGCCGCUGCCAUGGAUGCGGAUCUGGAGCUCCGCCGCCGCCCCGGAGCACCUCCUAGUCCUCGCCGCCGUCCUGUUGCACCAGGACCUCACGGGCGCGGAGGCAGCCGGCGAGCAGCCGACCACCACGCCUCCUCCCUCCUCCCCAUAGUUCGCCUCCUAUGGCGCGUGCGCCGCCCGGCCCCAUCUCUGGCGGAGCUCGGCCAACUCCCUCCCCUCCUGCUGGCCUCCUUGCUGGGCACGGGAGCGGCCGGAGGGAGCGCGUCGCCGGCCCUGCAGCACGGCCGAGCAGGGGGGAGCGGACGGAGGGGGCUCUUGGGAGAUCCUCCGCCCCGUGCAGCCCGACGAGGUCGCCGCGCGCGGGCGUGCAAGCUGCAGGACGACCUCCCCAGGGACCCGAUUGCUUUUUUAAAAUUAUUCCAGGGGCCUGAUCGCUUUUUAAAUAGUUGUAGGGGUUAUUCUAUAAAUAAAUCUAUGGAAGAGACACUGACAUGUGGGCCCCGCAAGCGUCCGAUGCUGCCGUUGUUGCAAGGGCUGCUGUUGUGUGCUCGUCGGGACACGCUAGGGCAUCUUCCUCAACUCCAGCGGCUGCCACCACCAUGCUAUGUUGCAACACCACUCGUGCUGCUGGUGGAUGGAGCCAGCGGCGACUGCUGCAUCGCAGCACUGGGAGACACCGGCGACUGCUCCAUGGCAACACCGACUUCAUUGCAGCCCCGGCGGAGUCUGUUCCAUCCCCACCGCGGCUUCAAUGACCCGGCGGCGCUCCAAAUGCAGCCUGGGCGAUGCUGCAUAGCAACACCGGCAACCCCGGCGACGCUACAUAGAAAAACCGGCUACCCCGGCGACGCAGCAUGGCAACACUGGCGACCCCCACGACACUGCGCCCCGGUGACGCUGCAUAGAAACACCGGCGGCCCGAUGAUGUGUCAUAGCAACACCGGCGAACCCCGCAACACUACAACGCUGCACCGCAGCACCAUUGGCCCCGACGACUCAGCAUCGACGAGCCCCUCCCUGCAGCAAGCGGCGUCGUUGCAGAUAUCCUCGGCACGCAGCUUUCCCCUGCAUGCGGCAACAAAUGCCGGUCGUGCUUUGGCUUGCAGAAGCGGUUGGUGUUUUGCAGCGGGAUGCGCACCGGCCCCAUGGUUGGAAGCAACGGUGGUCAGCCUUUGGAUCGAGCCUCUCUCUUCCUCUAUCAAGCGUGUGAAAAACCGAGAGAGAGGGGAUGGGGAACGACGAAGAAGAUGGAUGAGAGAGGAUAAGGAUGGGAUGGAGAGCGGUGAGCGGGCCCCGCAUACUAAGAGCAUCUUCAACAGGCGCACAAAAGUUUCGCACGCUAAAAUAGUUUUAGCGCGUCACUGUAGCACUUUUAGCGCGCCGGACCCAACAUUGGUUUACCAGAUGCCAAAAACGCGCGCCUAA